rnacentral:snRNA from 1 species
AUACUUUUGUGGUAGGGGAGGUACCACGAUCGUGAAAGUGGUUUUCCCAGAGCGAGGGUUAUCAAUUGUAUUUCGGACGUGCUGAUUCUAGCGGUUUCCUCAAACGUGGCAAACUCGACUGCAUAAUUUGCGGUAGUGGGGAACUGCGUUCGCGCUUUCCCCUG